rnacentral:rRNA from 1 species
AUUGAACGCUGGCGGCAGGCCUAACACAUGCAAGUCGAACGAGUGGCGUACGGGUGAGUAAUGUCUGUGAAACUGCCUGAUGGAUGGCGAUCACUACUGGACGCUGUUGCUAAUACCGCCUACCAUCAGCUGUGCCCAAAUGGGAUUAGCUUGUUGGUGGGGUAACGGCCCACCAAGGCGACGAUCCCUAGCUGGUCUGAGAGGAUGACCAGCCACAAUGGAACUGAGACACGGGCCAGACUCCUACGGGAGGCAGCAGUGGGGAAUAUUGGACAAUGGGCGAAAGCCUGAUGCAGCCAUGCCGCGGGUAUGAAGAAGGUCUUCGGGUUGUAAAGUACUUUCAGUGGGGAGGCGUUACCCGCAGAAGAAGCACCGGCUAACUCCGUGCCAGCAGCCGCGGUAAUAC